GCCCGAACAGCGGCCUCCGGGGGCGGCGUUGUUCAUACACCUCAAGGGGUGGUUCAACCGCCACCGCCCUACGGCGGGGAGGAAGGGAGAGAGAGAUAGACGGUGGUGGAGAAUUUUAAUCGAAAGGGAUGAAACCUAUUCUUCGGCCGAGGACUUCUGAAUGGGAGACCAGGAGGAAACUAAUUUGUCCUGCCAAACUGCCUGGGGGGGGGAGGGGGGGAUCAAUCUAGGACUUAACGUUUUUAAUGCCUCUCUAGUGUGAGAAGAACUAUCGACAAAUAGUCACUACGAUUUGUGAACCACUUCGGUAUCCGUUCGUGCGAUUUUUGCCAGGCUUAACUGCUUUCGAAUUAGAAAAGUACAGGGUGCUUUGUCAAGUAAUUUUUAAUUGGAAUAAAGAGGAGAUGAGAAAAUGAAAUAUUGGAUUUCUGGGAAUUGCACUGUUUUCAAGGCACUUACACAUACUUUUUUAAAAGGAUCUGCGCUAGAAUGUCUGAUUGGCUGGAUCAUUGAAUGCUACAUUUUCUUUUUCCCACUUUUCAAACACAAGACAGUUGUUCUCUCUUCCCAUCUCUUCAGGAUCACGGUGGUCCCGUCAGAAGAUAAUCUUUCAGUACCUUAGGGGCGGGCGCAAUUCAUCAGGUCUUGGUGAUUUAAACUCAAAGUUAAAAAAAAAAUCCUGGCCAUGUUUUAUCACUUUCAAGAUCAGUCCUACUCUUGUUAUGCUCCUUGCUUUUUUUGAGGAACAGGAAUUGUUUUUGAGAAGACUGGAGUUGAGUAGUUCCACCUUUUUGGUUUCUGAUUUUUUUUUUUCUGUAAUGUUAUAUAUCUAAAGCAGUCCUUUUGUUGUUAUUAGGAUAUCUUACUAAUAUUAAGCUUAGUUUGAACUUUUGUUUCCUUGAUACAAGUUCUAUAGUUCUGGCUAUUUGUCUGUACUAUUGCUUUCUAAUCUAAUCCUUUUUCCAUUUAUUGUAUGCUGAUCGAAUUAUGAUGAACUGAAGUGGGAAAUAAAAAUGCAGCUUCA